AUAGAAGCUCGGAUGUCAGAGGUUUUUAGGGGCCAUGGAUUGGAAUAUAACCUUUCAGGACUCAUGGGAAAUACUCUAGACAGCCACAGGCUUAUGCAUUUCGCUGGGCAACAGGAUCUUGAUAAGCAACAUAAUCUUAUGGAGAUGCUCUCUCUUGGCUACUUCACUCAGGCAAAAUUUAUUGG